rnacentral:lncRNA from 1 species
AACAGCCCUGGUUUAAUACAGGAGCUGCUGCUGCUCUGAAAACCUUUAUGAUUCAGUGCUGAUUUUGAUGAAGGUGAAUAGUACUGUUCUGAUCUCCUCUAACAGGAAGCAUCCUCUCUGAAGAUCAGCAUUCAGGAUAUGAGGAUGUGGAUGAGGAGCUUCUCUCAGGUGAAGCAGAAAAGGAGGACACAGCAGAGAGCUAUGAUGAUGUCAUCACAGGUGAUCUAAAGAGUGUGUUAUUAAUGAAUCUCCUCACAUUAAAUAAUCCAGUGUUUAAUGUUUAUCUUUUAUAGUUAGAUUACAUUUUUGUUAAAUAAAUCUUAAUUUAACACAAACA